rnacentral:rRNA from 1 species
UACGUAGGGUGCGAGCGUUGUCCGGAAUUAUUGGGCGUAAAGGGCUCGUAGGCGGUUUGUCGCGUCGGGAGUGAAAUCCAUUGGCUUAACUGGUGGCUUGCUUUCGAUACGGGCAGACUGGAGGUAUGCAGGGGAGAACGGAAUUCCUGGUGUAGCGGUGAAAUGCGCAGAUAUCAGGAGGAACACCGGUGGCGAAGGCG